UCCAUGACGGGCCUUGGUGGGGAUACCCUCGGGUAUGCCGGUUGUUAGGUCCGGUUCGCCAACCCUCCCUUGCGCCCGCCACCU
rnacentral:antisense_RNA from 1 species